CAUGCACUGGUGGGGUCCCUCGGCCUGGCCUGUGGACAUCCCCUGAGGGGUUCCCGAUUGCGAGAGGGUGCAGGCCAGGCUGAGGGACCCCACCAGUACACG
rfam:Myotis lucifugus cont2.5717, whole genome shotgun sequence.